rnacentral:piRNA from 1 species
GUGUGUCAGGACCAACAUACCCCAC